GGCAUUUUCUUUCAGCUCAUUGAUUGGAAGAGGAGACUCACCAAGAAAAAGCUCUUCACCAAAAAACUUCUGCCUCCUGCUCGUGCAAAGAAGUUCAGGGGAGAUGAAAAAAUGCCAAGUUCCAAGCUCCACUUGAUCGCUAAUGAGAAUAGUGGGGGUUUCCCAAGUGCCAAAAAAGGUGGGAAUCAUGGUGUAGAUGUAGAGCAUAAGAGUGAAAUGCGAGUUCCAAGUCUGGUGGCUAGGUUGAUGGGUCUAGAAGAUAUUCCAGCUGC